rnacentral:lncRNA from 1 species
AUAUUUUCCUUACAAGUUCAUAAGUACUAUAUAAAAUUAAAUAGGGUUAAAAAUAGAAUCGGAUAUUCGAAUACGAAUCAAGUAGUUGUCUAUCCAUAUCAUAUCCAUGUUUCUUUGACGAAUAUGGAUAUAGAUAUAGAUAUUAGUUGUAUACUGAGGAUGAUAAUGUUAUUUUGAUGAUUAACACAACCAUUGAGGCCAUAUCAAAUUAGAAAUGCAAAUUAACUCGAUACAUCAUUGAUAAAU